AACUUUCACUUGCUGGAGUAACAACUUCACCAUCCUUUACUGUCUUCUUCUCCUCUCCAACCUUUCCUUUACCUUUGGCUUCCACUAUCUUCUCCAAGAUCUCGUCAUUGAUCUUCUCAUCAACAAUCACCACUUCAUCAUCUAUGUUGAUGGCAACCCCCUCACCUAAUUUCUCAGCAUCCUUGGUGAGGGUUCUAGGAGGUAACUGCUUACCGCUCCUAAGGGUGAUAGCUUUGGCCUCUUUGGGAUUUUGGUCAGACUUUCCA
rnacentral:lncRNA from 1 species